GUAUAUGUUUGUUUGCAGAUUCGGGAGAUGCUGGGCGUGAUUCAGAGGCUCAGUGACGAAAAGGAGAUCUUUCAACAGAAAAGCGAAAGUGCAGAACAGCGACUGAAGGAAGCAGAGAGACAUCACAGAGAAGUGAUUUCAACUUACCGAUCUCACCUACUCAACGCAGCCCAGGGCCUGAUGGACGAAGAGGUGUACCUCGUCCUGGCGGGAAUCUGGAAGAUGCAGCAGGGAAUAUUUUAACGGAAGGAGCAAAGGGAUUAGUGGGAGGUGGGGUGGGGGUGUUGACUAACGGGAGAAGUGUUGGCAAGAACGUGACUGGCAUCGCUACGUACCCAGGCCCAGAGAUGGAUGCUCCAAGCAAUAGCCUCUCAGAUCCUCCAUUCCCACUCUGUUCCACACCGAGAGUGGCAUCGCGGCAGAACUACAGCGGAUUGGCACACGACCAGCGGGCGCUGAGGGAGGGUCACUGGACCCGAAACUUUAGCUCUGAUUUUAUUUUUUUUCUUCUCUUCGUGGAUGCUGCCAGACCCGCUGAGCUUUUCCAGCAACUUCUGUUUCCUCUUUUCUCCCCAACCCUUGCCACCUCGGCACCAGCUUCCGUGAGCACCAUUCACUGUCACAGGCUAUUCGACCUGGUGGGGCCUCCCACACACCGAUCUGGCGGCUCCUCGUCCUCCGUGGAGAGAGAGAGUGGGCACUUGAGGUGGCUGAGAGUGGGCACAUUUUACUCAAUAACAUGCAUCAUUCCUCUCAAACCCUGACAACAAAAGUCAGGCCCAACAUGAGGUUCACAGCUUCUCUUGCGGACUCUCUGACCACACGGCUUCUUCUGUGGCUCAAACCUGAGCGUCCUCAGCUGAGGAAGUCAACUGAUUUCCUCCUUUUCGAGGGGUUAGAUCGCAAGUAAAGAACUUGUGACGAUACCCCCACCAGUUUAGAAAGAUCUUUUUGAGACUUACGAAAUCCCGAGGAUGUUGGGGGCAUCUUGGGAGGUUGUUCAUCUUAAUCAGGCUGACGAAAACAAGGGUCAGAGCGUCGAAAAAAGGCCAAAUUCCCCAUCAAAGGCAGAUUUAUUCUUGUCUGAGAGGAUUGAUGGACUGUGGAAUUUCCUUGGCACUGUCUGAUGAGCUGAGGUUGAGCAGGCCCAGGCCCCUUCACUCCUCACAGGUUAGAAGAUUGAGAGGUGACCUUAUUGAAAUGUUCUCUUAGGGGGAAAUUGACAGGAGAGAUGCAGAGAGGUUGUUACUCCCAUGUGUGGGACAGCCUAGGAACCAGAGGGGCAUCAUCUUAGCAUUAGGGGUGGCCCGUUGAAGACAGAGGUGGGGAGGAAUACAGGGAGAACUAGCCAUUUGGAUACGAAGGUAGGAGACAGAGGGUGGUGGUGGAG